UUACCCACUCCCGGCACGGGGAGGUAGUGACGAAAAAUAACGAUACGGGACUCAUCCGAGGCCCCGUAAUCGGAAUGAGUACACUUUAAAUCCUUUAACGAGGAUCAAUUGGAGGGCAAGUCUGGUGCCAGCAGCCGCGGUAAUUCCAGCUCCAAUAGCGUAUAUUAAAAUUGUUGCGGUUAAAAAGCUCGUAGUCGAAUUUGUGUCGUACGCCGCCGGUUCAUCGCUCGCGGUGUCAAUUGGCGUGUCGUACGACGUCCUGCCGGUGGAUUUAGCUUCGGCUUCGGUCGAAGCGGUCCAACUUUUAAAUCCCGCCGCGGUGCUCUUCACUGAGUGUCGAGGUGGGCCGGCACGUUUACUUUGAACAAAUUAAAGUGCUUAAAGCAGGCUAAAAUUUUGCCUGAAUAUUGUAUGCAUGGAAUAAUGAAAUAGGACCUCGGUUCCAUUUUGUUGGCUUUUGGGAACCCCGAGGUAAUGAUUAAUAGGAACGGAUGGGGGCAUUCGUAUUGCGACGUUAGAGGUGAAAUUCUUGGAUCGUCGCAAGACGAACUUAAGCGAAAGCAUUUGCCAAAAACGCUUUCAUUGAUCAAGAACGAAAGUUAGAGGUUCGAAGGCGAUCAGAUACCGCCCUAGUUCUAACCAUAAACGAUGCCAGCUAGCGAUCCGCCGACGUUCCUCCGAUGACUCGGCGGGCAGCUUCCGGGAAACCAAAGCUUUUGGGUUCCGGGGGAAGUAUGGUUGCAAAGCUGAAACUUAAAGGAAUUGACGGAAGGGCACCACCAGGAGUGGAGCCUGCGGCUUAAUUUGACUCAACACGGGAAAACUCACCAGGCCCGGACACCGGAAGGAUUGACAGAUUGAGAGCUCUUUCUUGAUUCGGUGGGUGGUGGUGCAUGGCCGUCUUA
rnacentral:rRNA from 1 species